rnacentral:rRNA from 1 species
AAAUCUGUCCAUCGGCGGGGGAUAGCCGGCCCAACGGCCCGGGGUAAUAGCGCGUACGCUCUCUGGGAGGCAUCUCCUGGCGAGGAAAGCAGCAAUGCACCGAUGGAGGACUUCGCGGCCUAUCAGCUAGUUGGCGGGGUAAUGGCCCACCAAGGCAACGACGGGUAGCUGGUCUGAGAGGAUGAUCAGCCACAUUGGGACUGAGACACGGCCCAG